rnacentral:rRNA from 1 species
UACGUAGGGAGCAAGCAUUGUCCGGAAUCAUUGGGCGUAAAGCGCGCGUAGGCGGCCUCAUAAGUCCGGUGUGAAAGUCACAGGCUCAACCUGUGAAUGCCGCUGGAAACUGUCUGGCUAGAGUCCGGAAGGGGCGAGUGGAAUUCCUGGUGUAGCGGUGAAAUGCGCAGAUAUCAGGAGGAACACCAAUGGCGAAGGCAGCUCGCUGGAACGGUACUGACGCUGAGGCGCGAAAGCGUGGGGAGCGAACAGG